CUGACCUAUGAAUUGACA
rnacentral:piRNA from 1 species